rnacentral:rRNA from 1 species
ACGAACGCUGGCGGCGUGCUUAACACAUGCAGGUCGAACGGAAAGGCCCUGCUUGCAGGGUACUCGAGUGGCGAACGGGUGAGUAACACGUGGGUGAUCUGCCCUGCACUUCGGGAUAAGCCUGGGAAACUGGGUCUAAUACCGGAUAGGAGCCAUUUUUAGUGUGAUGGUUGGAAAGUUUUUUCGGUGUAGGAUGAGCUCGCGGCCUAUCAGCUUGUUGGUGGGGUAAUGGCCUACCAAGGCGGCGACGGGUAGCCGGCCUGAGAGGGUGGACGGCCACAUUGGGACUGAGAUACGGCCCAGACUCCUACGGGAGGCAGCGGUGGGGAAUAUUGCACAAUGGGCGCAAGCCUGAUGCAGCGACGCCGCGUGGGGGAUGACGGCCUUCGGGUUGUAAACUCCUUUCGCUAGGGACGAAGCUUUUUGUGACGGUACCUAGAUAAGAAGCACCGGCUAACUACGUG